rnacentral:rRNA from 1 species
UACGAAGGGGGCUAGCGUUGCUCGGAAUUACUGGGCGUAAAGGGUGCGUAGGCGGGUCUUUAAGUCAGAGGUGAAAUCCUGGAGCUCAACUCCAGAACUGCCUUUGAUACUGAGGAUCUUGAGUUCGGGAGAGGUUGGUGGAAUUCCGAGUGUAGAGGUGAAAUUCGUAGAUAUUUGGAGGAACACCAGAAGCGAAGGCGGCCAACUGGCCCGAUACUGACGCUGAGGCGCGAAAGCGUGGGGAGCAAACAGGAUUGAGAAACC